AUUGAACGCUGGCGGCAUGCUUUACACAUGCAAGUCGAACGGUAACAGGCCUUCGGGUGCUGACGAGUGGCGAACGGGUGAGUAAUGCAUCGGAACGUACCCAGAGGUGGGGGAUAACGCAGCGAAAGCUGUGCUAAUACCGCAUGUGAUCUGAGGAUGAAAGCGGGGGACCGAGCAGCAAUGUUUGGCCUCGCGCCUUUGGAGCGGCCGAUGUCGGAUUAGCUAGUUGGUGGGGUAAAGGCCUACCAAGGCGACGAUCCGUAGCUGGUCUGAGAGGACGACCAGCCCCACUGGGGCUGAGACACGGCCCAGACUCCUACGGGAGGCAGCAGUGGGGAAUUUUGGACAAUGGGCGGAAGCCGGAUCCAGCAAUGCCGCGUGCGGGAAGAAGGCCUUCGGGUUGUAAACAGCUUUUGGCAGGAACGAAACGGUGUCCGCUAAUACCGGGCGCUAAUGACGGUACCUGCAGAAUAAGCACCGGCUAACUACGUG
rnacentral:rRNA from 1 species